GGGCUAGCAAGGAUUGGAGGGAGGGGGGAUCACUGUCUGGGACACAAGAGGGAGAUCUGGGGGCAAGAAGGGAAGGGGUGAUAUGGGGGAUGGGCAGGAAGGUUGAGAUGAUGGUCUAGCGGCCAGCAGGCCCCGG